CCCAGUGGGUUCAGGCAGUGUUUCUACACAACGGGUCCAUGGAAGCCCAAUUUGAGAGAUGAUCUGUAAGAACAGAGGCCACGGUUAGAUUUGUUUAGUGAAUGCAGCACAUUCCUCCUCUUUUUACAGACCCACAGCACUAAGGUACUGAGCAGUUGUGCUGCAAAGUCAGCAGUUUAACCACAUUGAAUUAUUUUUGCUUGUUUGUUUGUUUCAGUAAGAUCUGUUUCACAUCCCAAGGAACUAGUGUGUCCACAGGGCACACCCAGAACACAAGAGAGUGCUAGUUAUUUAGGUGUCUGUCUUUCAAGGAGGCAAUCUAUGAUGGUCUGGAACAUGUUUCUUCCUCUGUCAAAAAAGAAAAAGAAAGAAACAAAAAUCUGUAUUUUACAAGAAUUACCGCUUUAAAACAAAAGGACAAAAUUCCAAUGGUGGACGGUUAGGUACCAGUCAGCCACGUGGGAAGGGGAAGGAAUCUGCCAUAAAAGCUCUUUUGCCCUCUGUCCUUGACUGUAGAUGUGGCCUUUUAACAAGUGACUUUUCUGGGCCCCCUGUUCCUGUUUUGUAAACAGUCACAAGGAUCAAACGAGUUACUCGUGACUAGCUCUUAUUGUCGCAAACAUACAAAUUUAGUGAUUUCCUUUUCCACUCACAUGAUAAGCUUGAUAGGCUUAUAACUUAGUAAAAUAGCCCUUUGUGUGACAUAAUUUUGGAACAGAGAACGUUUACAAAGGGAGGAUUCAUCUGAGUCUGGGUUGCUGCUAGGAAGACUUUCUGGAGGAGUGGAAAGGUGAUAGGGUGUGGCCUGGGUAGGGAGGACAGUACCCAAUAAAUAAAUAAAUAAGAAAGGACUGUCCCCGGAAGGGAAGGGUGUCAAGUGAAUACAGGCAUGGAGGUGCCGAUGAAAAGAGCCUGGGCCUUGUUCACUCAGCUGUUGUUCUCAGUCAGAGUCCGCUCCCAGGAAGACUGCUGCUGACCGGAGGCAAGCCGACCACUGGGAGCUGGCAGCUCUGCUCUGUCUGCUGAAAAAGAGAACCAUCUCCAAGUCGUGGAGACCUCAGAAACCCUGGGAAGAGCCUGCUGAGCUGGCUGUUUCUCCCACCAGCCCCGCAGAAGGUCAUGCCCAGGAUACAGAGAAAAAAAUCCCAGGUAAGGAGUAACUCGCACUUUAGGACAAAAUCUAUCUUGAGUGAAAUUUCUUGCUUCUCUGCACACCAACCUGAGAACAAAUAGAUGGACAGCAACUGGCAUCUUCCUGGCACAUU
ensembl:lncRNA